GACGAACGCCUGGCGGCGCGCCUAACACAUGCAAGUCGAACGAGCGAGAGGGAGCUUGCUUCCUCAAUCGAGUGGCGAACGGGUGAGUAACGCGUGAGGAACCUGCCUCAAAGAGGGGGACAACAGUUGGAAACGACUGCUAAUACCGCAUAAGCCCACGACCCGGCAUCGGGAAGAGGGAAAAGGAGCAAUCCGCUUUGAGAUGGCCUCGCGUCCGAUUAGCUAGUUGGUGAGGUAACGGCCCACCAAGGCGACGAUCGGUAGCCGGACUGAGAGGUUGAACGGCCACAUUGGGACUGAGACACGGCCCAGACUCCUACGGGAGGCAGCAGUGGGGAAUAUUGCACAAUGGGGGAAACCCUGAUGCAGCGACGCCGCGUGGAGGAAGAAGGUCUUCGGAUUGUAAACUCCUGUUGUUGAGGAAGAUAAUGACGGUACUCAACAAGGAAGUGACGGCUAACUACGUGCCAGCAGCCGCGGUAAAACGUAGGUCACAAGCGUUGUCCGGAAUUACUGGGUGUAAAGGGAGCGCAGGCGGGCGAUCAAGUUGGAAGUGAAAUCCAUGGGCUCAACCCAUGAACUGCUUUCAAAACUGGUCGUCUUGAGUAGUGCAGAGGUAGGCGGAAUUCCCGGUGUAGCGGUGGAAUGCGUAGAUAUCGGGAGGAACACCAGUGGCGAAGGCGGCCUACUGGGCACCAACUGACGCUGAGGCUCGAAAGUGUGGGUAGCAAACAGGAUUAGAUACCCUGGUAGUCCACACCGUAAACGAUGAUUACUAGGUGUUGGGAGAUUGACCCUCUCAGUGCCGCAGUUAACACAAUAAGUAAUCCACCUGGGAGUACGACCGCAAGGUUGAAACUCAAAGGAAUUGACGGGGGCCCGCACAAGCAGUGGAGUAUGUGGUUUAAUUCGACGCAACGCGAAGAACCUUACCAAGUCUUGACAUCCCUUGACGAUGCUGGAAACAGUAUUUCUCUUCGGAGCAAGGAGACAGGUGGUGCAUGGUUGUCGUCAGCUCGUGUCGUGAGAUGUUGGGUUAAGUCCCGCAACGAGCGCAACCCUUAUGGUCAGUUACUACGCAAGAGGACUCUGGCCAGACUGCCGUUGACAAAACGGAGGAAGGUGGGGAUGACGUCAAAUCAUCAUGCCCUUUAUGACUUGGGCUACACACGUACUACAAUGGCGUUAAACAAAGAGAAGCAAGACCGCGAGGUGGAGCAAAACUCAGAAACAACGUCCCAGUUCGGACUGCAGGCUGCAACUCGCCUGCACGAAGUCGGAAUUGCUAGUAAUCGUGGAUCAGCAUGCCACGGUGAAUACGUUCCCGGGCCUU
rnacentral:rRNA from 1 species